UACGUAGGGCGCAAGCGUUGUCCGGAAUUAUUGGGCGUAAAGAGCUCGUAGGCGGCUUGUCACGUCGGGUGUGAAAGCCCGGGGCUUAACUCCGGGUCUGCAUUCGAUACGGGCUAGCUAGAGUGUGGUAGGGGAGAUCGGAAUUCCUGGUGUAGCGGUGAAAUGCGCAGAUAUCAGGAGGAACACCGGUGGCGAAGGCGGAUCUCUGGGCCAUUACUGACGCUGAGGAGCGAAAGCGUGGGGAGCGAACAGG
rnacentral:rRNA from 1 species